GAUGAAGAACGUAGUGAAAUGCGAUACGUAGUGUGAAUUGCAGAAUUCCGUGAACCAUCAAAUCUUUGAACGCAUAUUGCGCUCGAGGCUUCGGCCGAGAGCAUGUCUGCCUCAGCGUCGGUAUUACCCCUCGCUUCUCAACCCCUGGUUGAUGCCUGCCUGCCUUUGCAGUUGGCUAGAAGCGGAUCUGGCUUUCCCAAUUGCCUUUGGUAGUUGGGUCAGCUGAAGCACAGAGGCUUGAGCAAGGACCCUUAUUGGGCUUCAACUGGAUAGGUAGAACUGGUCUUAGGACCAACUACACGAAGUUGUUGAUUGUGGUCUUUGUCUGGAGGCCAGCAGGAAACCUUUAUACCUUCGACCUGAGCUCAGGCAAGAUUACCCGCUGAACUUAAGCAUAUCAAUAAGCGGAGGA
rnacentral:misc_RNA from 1 species